rnacentral:rRNA from 1 species
AACGAACGCUGGCGGCAGGCCUAACACAUGCAAGUCGAGCGCCCGCAAGGGAGCGGCGGACGGGUGAGUAACGCGUGGGAACGUGCCCUUUGCUACGGAAUAGCCUCGGGAAACUGAGAGUAAUACCGUAUGUGCCCUUCGGGGGAAGGAUUUAUCGGCAAAGGAUCGGCCCGCGUUGGAUUAGGUAGUUGGUGGGGUAAUGGCCUACCAAGCCGACGAUCCAUAGCUGGUUUGAGAGGAUGAUCAGCCACACUGGGACUGAGACACGGCCCAGACUCCUACGGGAGGCAGCAGUGGGGAAUCUUAGACAAUGGGGGCAAGCCUGAUCUAGCCAUGCCGCGUGAGCGAUGAAGGCCUUAGGGUUGUAAAGCUCUUUCGUGGGGGAAGAUAAUGACGGUACCCCAAGAAGAAGCCCCGGCUAACUCCGUGCCAGCAGCCGCCGUAAUAC